GCCGGGUGUGGUGGUGCAUGCCUGUAAUCCCAGCUACUCGGGAGGCUGAGGCAGGAGAAUUGCUUGAACCCAGGAGAUGGAGGUUGCAGUGAGCUGAGAUCGCACCACUGCACUCCAGGCUGGGUAACAGAGCAAGACUCUGCCUCAA
rnacentral:sRNA from 1 species